rnacentral:lncRNA from 1 species
AUUUUGUAAGUUUAUGUAUUGGAUUGUGUUAUUGUUGAAUCAACAAUCCAAUUGGAUUUUUAUUUUUGGAUUACAACAGAAGGAGGUUGAUGCCAAAUAUUAGGGUUUUUCUCUUCCAUCUAUUUUUAAAAUAUGUGAUAAUUUUCUAUAAUAGAUUAUAAGAUAACAUUUAUUGAUGUUGUUGUUAUGUAGAUUGGUGUGUGAGAGAGA